rnacentral:rRNA from 1 species
UACGUAGGGGGCGAGCGUUGUCCGGAUUUAUUGGGCGUAAAGGGAGUGUAGGCGGUUCACUAAGUCUGCUGUGAAAUCUACGGGCUUAGCCUGUAAAGUGCAGCGGAAACUGGUGGACUUGAGUAUCGGAGAGGGCAGGGGAAUACCCAGUGUAGAGGUGAAAUCGUAGAGAUUGGGUGGAACACCAGUGGCGAAGGCGCCUGCCUGGCUGAUGACUGACGUGAGACUCGAAAGCA